AAUUAGUCCAAAUUUUAUUAUAUUUUUACUUUAUAUUUACAGGGUAUUCCUAUUAUUAUCACAGCGUUUUUAUUACUGGUUAGCACCACGCCGUACCUAAAAUUUACCUUUGAAUUCCUAUUAACAUAUUAAUAUUAUUAAUAUAAACAUUAGCAAAAUAAUAUUACGUAUUUCGAAUAUAAUAGGUUCGAUUUUUAUAUUUUCGAUAUUUAAACGGGAUUUAAUAAAAAGCAAGUAAUGGAUUAAUAGCGGGAAGUAAAUAAAAAAUAUAAAUUACAAAACUAUUAAGAAUCCAAGAUAUUUGAAAAAAGUUUCGGUGCAAACUAUUCCUAAAUCGCAAUUGUUUUGCGUAAAUGUUUAAAUAUUUUUGCAAAAUUUACUAUAUAGUCUACAAAUAAGAGAUUUUGCGGGAAAAAAUUAAACUUUAAUAUUUUAAUAUAAGUAUUUGUCUUUUGAAAUCUCUUUACAAUUUUCCGCGUAAAUUUAUCUCAGGUUUUUAUUCGGAUAAAUAAAUAAUAUCAUAACGGGUUAAUUAAUUUUCCAAAAUUUCUCAUUACAGCUUUAAAUAACCGCUAGGAUAUUGCAAAAACUAAUAAAUAUAAUAAGACUUUGAAAAUAUUUAUAACAAAUGGAAGAACCAGGGUUUUAUAUUUUUCCUAUUUGAAAUCGGGUAACCUAUAUUGGAUAGGGCCCUGAAAUGGAUAUAUAUUUGUUAGCAAAUUUUAAUAAAUCCAACAUACCCCAUCUAUUUCAACGCGUUUACGCACUGUAAAUAACGCGUUUUCAAAACCAAAAAAAACUAUAAUGCCUAAAGAUUUGGAAUAUUAGUUGUUAAAA
rnacentral:sRNA from 1 species